rnacentral:tRNA from 1 species
AGAAAAGUAAGCUAAAUAAAGCUAAUGGGUUCAUACCCCAUUUAUAGAGAAAUAUCUCUCUUCUCUA